rfam:Scleropages formosus scaffold8348, whole genome shotgun sequence.
GGUGUAAUGUGAUGUAAGUCGCUUUGGAUAAAAGUGUCUGCUAAAUGAAUAAGU